rnacentral:rRNA from 1 species
UAAAGGAAGCGAUUCCGGCUACGGAUGGUCAUGCGUCGCAUUAGCUAGUUGGCGGGGUAACGGCCCACCAAGGCGACGAUGCGUAGGGGUUCUGAGAGGAAGGUCCCCCACACUGGUACUGAGACACGGACCAGACUCCUACGGGAGGCAGCAGUGAGGAAUAUUGGUCAAUGGCCGCAGGGCUGAACCAGCCAAGUCGCGUGAGGGAUGACGGUCCUAUGGAUUGUAAACCUCUUUUGUCAGGGAGCAAAGGGCGCCACGUGUGGCGCUUUGCGAGUACCUGAAGAAAAAGCAUCGGCUAACUCCGUGCCAGCAGCCGCGGUAAUACGGAGGAUGCGAGCGUUAUCCGGAUUUAUUGGGUUUAAAGGGUGCGCAGGCGGAAUGUCAAGUCAGCGGUAAAAUUUCGGGGCUCAACCCCGUCGUGCCGUUGGAACUGGCGUUCUUGAGUGAGCGAGAAGUAUGCGGAAUGCGUGGUGUAGCGGUGAAAUGCAUAGAUAUCACGCAGAACUCCGAUUGCGAAGGCAGCAUACCGGCGCUCAACUGACGCUCAUGCACGAAAGCGUGGGUAUCGAACAGGAUUAGAUACCCUGGUAGUCCACGCAGUAAACGAUGAAUACUAACUGUCCGGGC